rnacentral:rRNA from 1 species
UUUGACGUUAGCGACAGAAGAAGCACCGGCUAACUCCGUGCCAGCAGCCGCGGUAAUACGGAGGGUGCGAGCGUUAAUCGGAAUUACUGGGCGUAAAGCGCAUGCAGGUGGUUUGUUAAGUCAGAUGUGAAAGCCCGGGGCUCAACCUCGGAAUUGCAUUUGAAACUGGCAGACUAGAGUACUGUAGAGGGGGGUAGAAUUUCAGGUGUAGCGGUGAAAUGCGUAGAGAUCUGAAGGAAUACCGGUGGCGAAGGCGGCCCCCUGGACAGAUACUGACACUCAGAUGCGAAAGCGUGGGGAGCAAACAGGAUUAGAUACCCUGGUAGUCCACGCCGUAAACGAUGUCUACUUGGAGGUUGUGGCCUUGAGCCGUGGCUUUCGGAGCUAACGCGUUAAGUAGACCGCCUGGGGAGUACGGUCGCAAGAUUAAAACUCAAAUGAAUUGACGGGGGCCCGCACAAGCGGUGGAGCAUGUGGUUUAAUUCGAUGCAACGCGAAGAACCUUACCUACUCUUGACAUCCAGAGAACUUUCCAGAGAUGGAUUGGUGCCUUCGGGAACUCUGAGACAGGUGCUGCAUGGCUGUCGUCAGCUCGUGUUGUGAAAUGUUGGGUUAAGUCCCGCAACGAGCGCAACCCUUAUCCUUGUUUGCCAGCGAGUAAUGUCGGGAACUCCAGGGAGACUGCCGGUGAUAAACCGGAGGAAGGUGGGGACGACGUCAAGUCAUCAUGGCCCUUACGAGUAGGGCUACACACGUGCUACAAUGGCGCAUACAGAGGGCAGCCAACUUGCGAAAGUGAGCGAAUCCCAAAAAGUGCGUCGUAGUCCGGAUUGGAGUCUGCAACUCGACUCCAUGAAGUCGGAAUCGCUAGUAAUCGUGGAUCAGAAUGCCACGGUGAAUACGUUCCCGGGCCUUGUACACACCGCCCGUCACACCAUGGGAGUGGGCUGCAAAAGAAGUAGGUAGUUUAACCUUCGGGGGGACGCUUACCACUUUGUGGUUCAUGACUGGGGUGAAGUCGUAACAAGGUAGCGCUAGGGGAACCUGGCGCUGGAUCACCUCCUUAAACGAUGAU